ACCAGUAAGUGGCGGUAAUGCUACUAACAGUUUGUUGCCAACCGCCAUAAAACUCGACAAGAAGAAGAAGAAGACGCCUCACUCGUUCUCAGCACUUCAGUGAGAGCACAACUGCUAAAAUUUUUACACACAGGAAUAAAUGUCUUCAAUGUUUUCAGGAUUAAAACCAGAAACAAAAGGAGCAAAAGAAACCUGACAUGGAGCCCGAAUCAUCAAAAGGAGGAACAAAUGCCACAGCGCCCAUCAGGGUGGUGGUGCCCCUGGACCUGACUGCAACACAGUUUGUGCAGGUACUUCGGGACAAUGUAUCCGGAGUACCUGAGGAAUUCACAUUGUGAAGGGUCAAUGGGCAGCGGCAGGUUGAGCCAUUGGAGGUUACAACUCCAGGGGAGAUUCACAGCCUCCGCAGCCUGAACAGGUCUAACCUGUAUAUCAGGCCAAAGAAUUCCAACGCUGCAGAAGCAGUGAGUUCGCAGGAUGCCACUGUCCAGCAGCCGCCUCAGGUGGAAAUAGCAGCAGCCGGAGAAGACUUUAUGGAGGACCUCCAGGGGGAGGAGCAGGAUGAGGGGGAUGUCAUCCUGUUGGGAUCCCCAGCCCGACAAGACCCAGUAACUUCUCAUGAUGGAAGUCUCAGGAUCUCUGGGCGUCUUUGAGGGCAUGCCAGGAAAGAUGCUGUUUAGCUACGACCUGCAGGCGUUGGAGGGCCAUAAAUAUUAUCUUGCAGGCAAGCUGAUGGCCUGGUCCGUGAUCCACAGUGGUCCAGGCCUCCG